UGGGGAAUCUUGGACAAUGGGGGCAACCCUGAUCCAGCGACGCCGCGUGGGUGGUAAGGCCUUCGGGUUGUAAAGCCCUUUCACCGGGGAAGAUGAUGAUAUUACCCGGUGAAGAAGCGCCAGCUAACUCCGUGCCAGCAGCCGCGGUAAUACGGAGGGGGCAAGCGUUGUUCGGAUUUACUGGGCGUAAAGGGCGCGUAGGCGGACGAUCAAGUCAGAGGUGAAAGGACCGGGCUCAACCUGGGACGUGCCUUUGAAACUGAUUGUCUUGAGUGCGGAAGAGGGUGACGGAAUUCCCAGUGUAGAGGUGAAAUUCGUAGAUAUUGGGAAGAACACCGGUGGCGAAGGCGGUCACCUGGUCCGCAACUGACGCUGAGGCGCGAAAGCGUGGGGAGCAAACAGGAUUAGAUACCCCGGUAGUCC
rnacentral:rRNA from 1 species